rnacentral:rRNA from 1 species
AUUGAACGCUGGCGGCAUGCCUUACACAUGCAAGUCGAACGGUAACGGGCCUUCGGGUGCCGCCGAGUGGCGAACGGGUGAGUAAUACAUCGGAACGUGCCCGAUCGUGGGGGAUAACGAGGCGAAAGCUUUGCUAAUACCGCAUACGAUCUACGGAUGAGAGCAGGGGACCGCAAGGCCUUGCGCGGGCGGAGCGGCCGAUGGCAGAUUAGGUAGUUGGUGGGAUAAAAGCUUACCAAGCCGACGAUCUGUAGCUGGUCUGAGAGGAUGAUCAGCCACACUGGGACUGAGACACGGCCCAGACUCCUACGGGAGGCAGCAGUGGGGAAUUUUGGACAAUGGGCGCAAGCCUGAUCCAGCCAUGCCGCGUGCAGGAUGAAGGCCUUCGGGUUGUAAACUGCUUUUGUACGGAACGAAAAGCCUUCUUUUAAUACAGGAGGGUCAUGACGGUACCGGAAGAAUAAGCACCGGCUAACUACGUG